rnacentral:rRNA from 1 species
GAUGAACUUCUGACAGAAUGCUUAACACAUGCAAGUCAAUGGGGAAACGGUGCUUGCACCGCGAUAACCAUGGCGGACGGGUGAGUAACGCGUAAAGAACUUGCCUCUUAGUCUGGGAUAACAGAUGGAAACGACUGAUAAGACUAGAUAUUAUUAAAGUUUCGCAUGAAGCUUUAAUGAAAAGAGAUGCUAAGAGAGAGCUUUGCGUCCUAUUAGUUAGUUGGUGAGGUAACGGCUCACCAAGACGAAGAUAGGUAGCCGGUCUGAGAGGAUGAACGGCCACAAGGGGACUGAGAUACGGCCCUUACUCUUACGGGAGGCAGCAGUGGGGAAUAUUGGACAAUGGAGGAGACUCUGAUCCAGCAAUUUUGUGUGCACGAAGACGGUUUUCGGAUUGUAAAGUGCUUUCAGCAGGGAAGAAGAAAGUGACGGUACCUGCAGAAGAAGCGACGGCUAAAUACGUGCCAGCAGCCGCGGUAAUACGUAUGUCGCGAGCGUUAUCCGGAAUUAUUGGGCAUAAAGGGCAUCUAGGUGGAUAUACAAGUCAGGGGUGAAAACUUAGGGCUCAACUCAAAGCUUGCCUUUGAAACUGUAUAUCUAGAGUGCUGGAGAGGUGGACGGAACUACACGAGUAGAGGUGAAAUUCGUAGAUAUGUGUAGGAAUGCCGAUGAUGAAGAUAGUCCACUGGACAGCAACUGACGCUGAAGUGCGAAAGCUAGGGGAGCAAACAGGAUUAGAUACCCUGGUAGUCCUAGCUGUAAACGAUGAUUACUGGGUGUGGGCAUGAAGAGUGUCUGUGCCGAAGCUAACGCGAUAAGUAAUCCGCCUGGGGAGUACGACCGCAAGUUUGAAACUCAAAGGAAUUGACGGGGAACCGCACAAGCGGCGGAGCGCGUGGAUUAAUUUGAUAAAACGCGAAGAGCACCACCCGGGUUCGACAUACAUAAGGAAUGCUUAGAGAAAGGAAUGCCUCUUUUGGGACGGGUUCACAGGGUGGUGCAGGUGUGUUCUCAUCUCGUCGUGUGAUGUGGUGGGGUGACUCCCGCCGAGAGCGGCCCCCCUCUUCUUUUGUGACCACAAGUUUGGGUGGGGACUCAGUGGAGACUGCCGGGGUUAAAUCGGAGGAAGGUGGGGAGGACGUCAAAUCAUCACGCCCCUUAUGUGGAGGGCUUCACGCAUGCUACAGUGGUUGGUACAAAGAGGAGCGCGCCGAGGUGGGUGAGCGAAUUUAGUAAAAGCCGGUCUCUGGUCGGGGGGGGGGCGUCAACUCCACCUAAAGAAAGGAGGGAGUUGUUAAUAAUCCGCACAUCAGACGACGCUGGCGGAGAAGAUGUUCCGCGGCGU